CACGUAGGGGGGCGAGCGUUUGUCCGGAUUUAUUGGGCGUAAAGAGCGUGUAGGCGCCAGGUAGGUCUGGUGUGAAAACUCGAGGCUUAACCUCGAGAUGUCAUCGGAAACCAUCUGGCUAGAGUCCGGAAGAGGAGAGUGGAAUUCCUGGUGUAGCGGUGAAAUGCGCAGAUAUCGGGAGGAACACCAGUGGCGAAGGCGACUACCUGGCCUGUUCUUGACGCUGAGGCGCGAAAGCUAGGGGAGCAAACGGG
rnacentral:rRNA from 1 species